GGAGUUCUGUACAAAAUAAAUAAAUAAUUACAUCAUAUGAGGAAACGAUCCAGCAACCCAAAGUUGACUGGGAGACGACGGCCUAGACCUCUCACGAACACAUCGCAGCAUCCUCCAUGCGCCUCAUCCUGUGGUACCUGUUCUUGACCUGUGGGGGGGUGUGAGACAGCAAGAGUGAGCUCACAUACGUUCAUCGCUCAACAAGUUGUGGGGAAUAAUGUGCAUGAACUCGCCAAAGGUGGGAGCUCACGUGAAGUGUAAGGCUUACCAAAGAGGAUGGUUAGAGCUGAGCAUUGCUUUUAAAGUUAGUCAAAAUUUUAUUAGCAGUUACUAAGUAUAAGUAAAUACCAACCCAAUUAAGUAAUAACAAAAGUAACAACAUCACCUGCGAUGCAAUGCAUAUGACAAAUUGAAUUUAGUUCCAUAAGUUAAUCAUGUGAGUGUCCGAGCUGCUCAUGACCGUGAGCACGACUAGUAUACCAGUUUUACACUCUGCAGAGGUUGCACAUCUUUACCCACAAGUCAUGUUACCCAUCUGCCAAGGGAUCGCGACUUCCCAUACACCUCUACCGAGGAGGCGAGGCAGGGUAACACUACGAGGCCUUUACAAAGUUCCACUAGCUUCAGAAAACCCGCUACAGUUUAUAGGAAGCUCCAAUGCAGGAAUCCCUUGCAGGACCGCCAUCGCAGCAAAAUCCUCCCGAGGGCCUCCCUACACUGACCACUCCCCUACUGCCCUUGCCCCUUUCGGGUAAGGUAGCCUUCCACUAGCUUUCCUAAUUAAUCAGUCAAGGGGUCCCAUUCCUCCCUUGUGGUAGCACUGUUUUCCCGGGUGGUUCUCCAUGUUCCAAUUAACAUAAUGAUCUUAACAUGAACAAUAAAUAACAACUGAUAACAAAAGUAUAAUCAUGAGUAAUGUAUCUUCAUACCCAAAACCACAUAAAGCACUAGCAAGUACUACCUAAAAAGUUCAGUGGUAACAAGGUAUAAAGAUAAUCAAACUAGGGUAACCUAUUGGGUCCCAUCAAAAUUAACCUAUGCAGAUCAUUAUGAUUAAUCAGAACAUGAGUAGGUAAAAAGAAGUGAUCAAGGGCACAACUUGCCUGGGACUUGAGAUUCCAGGUACCAGGAUGAUCUUCAGAUGACUCGUGACCUCACAACUAGUCGUAGCAAUACAGACAAACAUGGUAUAUGCAAAAUUAACAUCACACCAUACAUAAGAAUAAACUGCGUAAUAAUAAUCUACGCGUCGCUACGAGAUCGUGGGAACAAGAAUCACUACAAUCGGAGCCAUGGUUACCGAGUUAUGAUUUUCUGAAGAUCCGCUCAAUCUAAGCACUUAAAACUAGACCUUAUGUUGAUUUAAUAUAUCAUGUGAGAAAAUAACCUAAAUGAAUAAUUAAUUCAACUUUAAGUUAUAUCAUAAUAUAAUUAGGGAUCAUAUUUUAGCCAAACUAUAAUUAUAAACAGAUUAACUUUGAUUCAUAGAGGUUAAUCUACUAAACAUAGGUUAAAUGAAUAUCUAACUAUAAAAGUAUGAGAUAUGGUAUGAUUACUGUUUUUAGUACGUAGAGAAUAUUUUUAUGAAGCUAACGCAACUGGAACGGAGUAAAACAGAUUUAAAACGGGUAAGUUAUGCCAUAAACAAGUUUCUAGAAUUAUUUUGUAUUAAAAUUCAAUUUCUAAUAUUAAUUAUCUGGUUUUCUCUGUUGUCUGGACUGGGCGUCAAUAGCAGAGAAACCCAGGGGCUAACUCGCAAUUUCUCCCUAGACUCAGACUACUUUCUCGAGGAUGGCGGGUUUAUUUUUCAGGAAACCGAGGGCUUAUCUGUAAUAGGCACAUGUCGAAGAGGUAUGAGUUUGUUCCGAUCGUUGGAUUAGAUUCGGAUGGCGAGGAUCAAAUCUGUACCGGUAUGCGUUUGUAGCCACUAGAUAGAGAUCUGAUGGCCAAGACUCAACUUGAAUCGGUAAGCUACACAAGCCGUCGGAUCGAUGAUCCACAGCCAAGAUCUAAGGGAACAGAGGGGUAGGCUUAGUCUAAUCUGGAACGUUGGUCAAGUCAUCAACGCCCCAGGAUCACCACUACCUACAUCAAGCCAAGCACAGCGGCGACGCGAGGGGUGCGGUGGCGCCAUCGCCGCCACCACCAUGGUUGUUUGACCCCAUGAUCGAAAUCGAUUGCGCGAUACACGAAGUAGAGGAAUGACUGAAUUGUACUGGGGUAGUUUUACCGAAGACCAUGACGCCAGCGGUGGUUGUCAACGCCAAUGGCGGCCCGGCAGCGCAUUCUUGACACCGACGAGGAAUUAGGGAGGAUCUGGUUCAUCACCAGUUCCUGCGAUUCCGCGUCCAGCAUCACCCCGACCCGGCGACGAUCCUUGGCCCAACAUAGACCACAGACCGGCCGCACGGAUGGAACACACCGACAGCGAUCACCACGACGUUCUCUCUCUCAAUCUCUCUGCAAUCCGACGAGCACACGGCAGUCCCUCUCCAGCUUCUCUCUCUCUCUCUGCGAUGAAGCUCGGUGCGAUUUUCCCAAUGGCAGCGCGCCCCACAUCACCCUGGCGCGAAUCACCUGGUGCUGGCGCUCAUGGCCGAGGC
rnacentral:lncRNA from 1 species